CAGAUUUGCUCUAAAUGCUUUGGUUUCAGAGAUAUAAGCCAAAAUCUACAUUUUACCCCUAUGUUCUAUUUUUAGCCAUGGCAGCCAUCUUGGUUGGUUGGCCGGGUCACCGGACACAUUUUUUAAACUAGAUACCCCAAUGAUGAUUGUGGCCAAGUUUGGUUAAAUUUGGCCAAGUAGUUUCAGAGGAGAAGAUUUUUGUAAAAGUUUACGGACGACGGACGCAGGACGAUGGACGCAGGACGACGGAUCACGGACGCCAAGAGAUGAGAAAAGCUCACUUGGCCCUUUGGGCCAGGUGAGCUAAAAAUGAAAGAACCUUAGUGAGCGCGCUCACAUACCGCACAUCCCCACAUUGUCAUUGGAGAAAUAAAAUUAAGUGUAAGAAAAAAAAAUUGUAUCAGAAAAAAAAAUUGAAUCAUAAUUUCCUGUCAAUAUGCACAUCUACAUAGUAUGUCCUUAUUAUCUACACAGUUUCAUGAAAUUCUGUUUUGUGGUUUGAGAGGAGUUGCGAUGACAAAAGGUUGCAGUAGUAUAUUGGGCAAAUCAGUUCAAAGGGGCGUAACUCCUGGAAAAAAAAUUGAAUCGUAAUUUCCUG